rnacentral:tRNA from 1 species
GGGUGAUUAGCUCAGCUGGGAGAGCACCUCCCUUACAAGGAGGGGGUCGGCGGUUCGAUCCCGUCACGACCCACCA